GGUCAGUGAUGAGCAGUAAAAGGUCUGAUUACCCACAAUCCCCUCCUGCUGCCCUUUGGCUCCCAGCAGCCCUGCUUUCUGCUCCCAUCGUGCUCCAGUGAUGCAGCGGUGGUACCGGCAGCUGCUGACACACAGGAUGCGACAUCACACCGGGGCCUGUACAGAGCUCCUACAGCCUCUCUGUGAUGAUGUCAUCCAACAGAAUCUCAGCACGGAGCGUCGGGCUGAGGAGGAGGAGCAGGGAGCUGAUCUCAAGUUUUCAAGCUGAGACC
ensembl:scaRNA small Cajal body-specific RNA 6